UUCUUCCUCCCCGUGCCACUAGCAGCAGUCGUCUUUCGCUUCCCACCCCGACAACCAUUUACCUCCUCUCCCAUCAUCUCCCUCCGCCACCCAUCUACACACCUUCCCACCACAUCCUCCUUCAGCCCUCUCCUCUUCCAUCAGUCCCUGCUCUCCACUCCUCACCAUUUUAACAUUUUUCUCUCCUUCUGAGCCACGAGUUGCUACCUCUACCGGCGAGCUCGAAAUCAUGGUGGCAGAUUCGGAGAGGAGAACCACGAUUCUGGACCGUUCGAGAGAAAGAGGAGGAGAGGAUCGAUGUUCAAGUGAUUGUGUUCGAUGCCGCCGAUCGUGCGAAGAUCCUUGCGGCGGCGAAAUGGUGUCAGUGUGACACUUAAAGUUUCUCUCUGGCUGCCGACAAGCCACCAGCAUGAGAAUGGUUAGUUUCUGGGAGGGGUAAAAUUGGAAUAUCACAAAAAUGGAGAGGGCACGAUGGGAAAAAGAAUUUCAUUUAACUUCCUGUUCUUGUCUCUCCCUCUCACUCUCACUCUCACUCUCAAGUCCCUCAACCCCCAAGCGACCCUCUGAAAUCUCAGCUGAACCCUCUCAAACAAAACCCUACUUCUUUCUCUAAAGAUUCAUAUAUAUAUCAUUAGCAAUUUAGCAUUUCGUAUGAGGAAUAUGCAGCAUCAUCAUCCUCUUGUGGUAAAAGGUGUGAAAUUGGAGCAUGAAGAUGCAGAAGUAGUAAUAAUUGGGGGCAUGGUGUUGGACAUUCAUGCCACACCUUCAAUCGCUGCUAAACCAGGAACCACAACUCCUGGCAAGGUCUAUUAUGUUCAAGGAGGUGUAGCAAGGAAUGUAGCAGAGUGCAUGUCAAAGCUAGGAGCAAAGCCAUACAUGAUUAGUGCUCUCGGGUUUGACAUGGCUGGAAAUCUGCUAUUGGAGAAGUGGAAAUCAACUGGCCUAUCUAUAGAGGGUAUUUUGAAGGAUAAAGUUAUUGACACUCCAGUUGUGUGCAAUAUAUUUGAUGUUAAUGGUGAGGUGGCAGCUGGUGUUGCUAGUGUGCAAGCAAUUGAAAAAUAUCUUACACCUGACUGGAUUUUACACUUCAAGAGCACUUUACUUUCUGCUCCGGUAUUAAUGGUUGAUGCAAAUCUGAGUCCUCCUUCUCUAGAAGCUUCUUGUAAAUUGGCGGCCGAUGCAGAGUGUCCUGUCUGGUUUGAGCCAGUAUCUGUUACUAAAUCCCGAAGAAUAAGUUCUGUUGCCGAGUAUGUGACAUUUGCUUCUCCAAAUGAAGUUGAACUUAUUGCAAUGGCAAAUGCUUUAUCUGGGAGCGAUGAGUCCCAUCCGCUCAAAGAAUAUCAUAAGGAAAAUAACCAGUCACCAGCAUCGUCGUUUCAAAUUCUGAAACCAGCAAUAUGUGUUUUGUUAGAAAAGGGCAUCAAAGUGGUUCUAGUGACCCUGGGUUCAAAUGGGGUAUUUUUAUGCAGUAAGGGAGGGCCAAACUGCAUUAAAAUCCCUGUAGAGAAAACUCGUCGGCAUGGUUUUGGUGGAGAAUUGUAUAGGACUGUUAUGCAAAGGUUUCCACCUAGUUCUUAUUCUUUUUCAGAACAUGGUAGAAGUUCUCGUCUCUUUGCAUUGCAUUUGCCCUCAGUUCCUGCAUCAGUUGUGAGGCUUACUGGAGCUGGUGAUUGUUUAGUUGGCGGAACUCUCACAUCAAUCUCUGCAGGGUUAGAUAUUAUACAAAGCGUGUCAGUUGGCAUUGCUGUGGCUAAAGCUGCUGUUGAGGCUGAGGCCAAUGUCCCUUCUGCUUUCAGCUUAGCUACCAUUGCUGAUGAUGCUAAAUAUGUAUACUCUAGUGCCAAAGUGCUAUUCCACCAAUCAAUGUUGUGAAUUUUGAAUAAGCGUGGGCGAUGAAUUCUUGGAGCAAAUGAAACAACUAUACUCUCUGGCCCAAAGAAGAGAUUUGGCUCAUCUUAUCAAGAAAAUAUGAAUUCUGAAAAUGUGAGUAACCUUGUUACUACUGGAGUUGGUUCUGAGGCUGCUCUGGUCGAGGUUGAUGAACCUAGUUCGAAAAGGCUAAGACCAGCAACCUCCGAUGUUUGGAAUUUUUUCGAAAAGCUCGGUCCAGAUAAGGAUGGAGUAGAACGUGCUGAGUGUAAAGGAUGCAAGAAAGUGUUUAAAGCUGGAGGUAAGCGAUAUGGAACUUCUACUAUAAAACGACAUCUUGAUAGUUGUACUCAAAUUAAGCAUGAAGAUAUUGGUCAGACUAUAGCAGAAUUGCAACUUAAAAUGGGUUCACUUAAAAUUGAUUCAGGAGUGGCUAGAGAUAUGUUUGCUGGGUAUGUAGUUGCUGGGAAUAAGCCUUUUAAUAUGGUUGAUGAUAGGAGAUUUAGAAAUUGGGUGAAAUAUAUUAGUCCAACUUUGAAACUUCCUUCUAGGAAUACGGUUAAGGCUGACAUAGUGAAAGUUCACAAGAGAGAAGCUGCGAAACUUAAAAAAAUUUUAGUUUCCAUUCCAAAUAGAAUUUGCUUAACAUCUGAUCUUUGGACUUCCAGUACCAAUGAGGGGUUUAUAUGUUUGACUGCACAUUUUGUUGAUGAGAAAUGGAAAUUACAGAGUAAAAUUCUCAAUUUUUGUCAUAUGCCUCCUCCUCACACAGGAUUUGAGUUGUCUUCUAAAAUCUUUACGCUUUUGACUGAGUGAAAAGUUGAUAAAAAGAUUUUUUCCAUUACUUUGGAUAAUGCUUCUUCUAAUGAUACUUGUGUUGAACACUUGAAAAGUACUUUGGAUGUGCAUGGUUCAUUGUUGUGUGGUGGUGAAUUCUUUCAUGUUCGUUGCUCUGCUCAUAUUUUAAACCUUAUUGUCCAAGAUGGAAUGAAAAUAUGUGGUGAUGCAGUGUAUAAGAUUAGAGAGUCUAUUAAGUUUAUGAGAAAAUCUGAAAGUCGAAUGGUUAAGUUUAAAGAAUGUUUUGAAGAUAUUGAGGGACUUGAGUAUACGACUGCAUUAUGUUUAGAUGUUCCUACUAGGUGGAAUUCACUUUAUGCAAUGCUUGCAAGUGCUAUUCCUUAUAAGAAAUCUUUUGAAAUGUAUAAAGUAAAAGAAGUUGGGUUUAGGGAGUAUUGUCCUUCAUCAGAUGAGUGGAGAAGAACUGAAAAGAUAUGUGAUUUAUUGUUACCAUUUUACGAAACUACCAAGUUGAUGUCCAAAACUUCUUACCCAACAUCCAACUUGUAUUUUUUACAAGUUUGGCAAAUCCAGCUUAUUUUAAUGAAUAGUUUGAAGAAUGAUGAAGUGCUUAUAAGGAACAUGGGAGAAAAAAUGAUGAUUAAGUUCAAGAAAUAUUGGGAAGAAUACAGUGUUGUUCUUGCAUUUUGGGCAGUUCUUGAUCCUAGAUUUAAACUCAACACUUUGGUUCAUUGCUAUAAUGAGAUUGAUCCUAUUAGUGCUAAAGACAAAGUGGAGCUUGUGAAGAAUAAGUUAUAUAAGCUUUUUGAGGUUUAUGACCAAAAUUCCUCUACAACUGUAGAGUGUUCUUCCCAACUUUCAAGUAAUUUUUCUCAAGCAACAUCUUCUGCAAUUGGAACUCAGCUUAUUAAAAUUGUUGUUGAUUUGAUGUCCCAUAAUCAAGAAGUUGAAGUGAAAAGUGGAAAGAACCAACUGGAUAUUUAUUUAAGUGAGGCAACAUUAUUUUGCAAUGAUGCAAUCAUUGAUGUUUUGCAAUGGUGGAAAGACAACCAUCAUCGUUUUCCAACACUAUCACUAAUGGCACGAGAUUUGUUGAGCAUUCCAUUACUACCGUGGCUUCAGAAUCUGCAUUUAGCAUGGGUUCUCAUGUUUUGAAUAAGUAUAGAAGUCGUUUGUUGUCAGAUAAUGUUGAAGCGGUGAUUUGCACCAGAAAUUGGAUACGUGGAUAUGAUGAUUUUGAGGAAGAUAAAGAUCAGGAAGAUAUUGCAAAAGGAGAAGGCUAUUUUUCAGGAGUUGGUUCCAAUGAUGUUAUUGACUUAUAUGAAGAUGAAGAUGAAAAUUAAGUGUAUUAAAUUAAGUUUAAUUUGCUUUGAAGACUAUUUAUAAUUAUGUUUUUGGACUUUGGAUUAUAUAUUUAUUUUGUCUAUGGGACUAUUUAUAAGUUAUAACUAUGUUUUUGUAUUUUGGAUAAUUGGAUUAUGUUUAUUUAU